UCCACGCCGUAAACUAUGAUUACUCGUUGUCGGCGAUACACAGUCGGUGGCUAAGCGAAAGCGAUAAGUAAUCCACCUGGGGAGUACGAUCGCAAGGUUGAAACUCAAAGGAAUUGACGGGGGCCCGCACAAGCGGAGGAGCAUGUGGUUUAAUUCGAUGAUACGCGAGGAACCUUACCUGGGCUUAAAUGUAGAUUGCAUGAUGGGGAAACCUAUCUUUUCUUCGGAACUAUUUACAAGGUGCUGCAUGGUUGUCGUCAGCUCGUGCCGUGAGGUGUCGGGUUAAGUCCCAUAACGAGCGCAACCCC
rnacentral:rRNA from 1 species